UCACACAGGUUCUCGUUAGAUCACCGAAGUCAAGCAUCAUUGGGCGCGGUCAGUACUUAAAUGGGUGACCACCUGGGCA